rnacentral:rRNA from 1 species
CCUACGGGAGGCAGCAGUGAGGAAUAUUGGUCAAUGGGCUUACGCCUGAACCAGCCAAGUCGCGUGAGGGAUGACUGCCCUAUGGGUUGUAAACUUCUUUUGUAAGGGAGUAAUUCGCGUUACGUGUAGCGCUAUCCAUAGUACCUGUAGAUAAAGCCUCGCGUAACUCCGUCCAAGCAGCGGCGGUAAUACGGAGGAUGCGGGCGUUAUCGGGUUUGAUGGGGUUUAAGGGGUCCGUAGGCGGAAUGCCAAGUGAGCGGGAAAAUCGCGGGCUUAAACCGGGCCGCGCCGGGGGAACUGGCGUUCUUGAGUGGGCGGAAAGCAGGCGGAAUUCGUGGUGUAGCGGUGAAAUGCAUAGAUAUCACGCAGAACUCCGAUUGCGAAGGCAGCAUGCCGGAGCGCAACUGACGCUGAAGCACGAAAGCGUGGGUAUCGAACAGGAUUAGAUACCCGUGUAGUC